rnacentral:tRNA from 1 species
GGGGAGGUGGCAGAGUGGUCGAAUGCGGCGGUCUUGAAAACCGUUGAUGGCGAGAGCCAUCCCAGGGUUCGAAUCCCUGUCUCCCCGCCA